UGUGCUCGCUUAGUUGAUGGUUUGAAUAUCACUCUCAAGGGAUCUUUCCCCUCUGUAGCAAUGUCCGAGGAAGCGACCGCCCCAAAGAAGCAGCCUGUGGAGGACGCAACUGGGCCAACAAACGGACUCGGCGUGGAUGACAGAACCAUGAGUGACAUCAUCGACAAGCUUCGAAUGCUCGACUACGAAACCAAUUUCUGCCGCAGCUUCAAGCCACCGUUCAGCCCUCUCAACCCGUACUACUUUUCAGGCCCUUCAUCAAUAGACAACCCGAACGCCCAGUUUUACUAUUUUACCUCCUUGUGUGUGUGGCUCAUGAAGUUGUGUGGUCACCAGUUUGAUGCUCCCGGGCAAUUCGAUGACCCGAACGCCUCUUCGACGACGAUCCUGGCAGAGCUGCGCUCGAUGAACAUCGCAAUCGCAAACAUCGCACCAACCCGCCUCAAGCAGGGCAGCGGCGAGGCAGUUUUGGCUGUUCUAUCUGCUCUUGUGAAUGCAGCACUCUCUAGCACUGGCUACGAUUUUCAGCCGAUCGAUUACGGGCAGGUAGGGAGAUACGAUGAGCUGGCCGCCGUCGCAGACGCCGAGGACGAGCAGGGUGAGGACGAGAUUGAGGAUAAUGUCGUUAUCGACAGCGACGACGACGACGAGGUUUAUGUGGGCGCUGUUAGUGGGAAUCGAAGCGCCAAAAGCGACGCGGACCGUCCUCCGACGCCCAAGGUAGAUGCCGAAGAGUGGAAGAUGGAGGUGGAGCGCGUUGCCCCGCUGCUUCAGGUGCGCCAAUCUUCCCUAGACGACUGGCGCUCGCGUAUUGAGAGCGCCACGGUUUUGCUCAAAGCUGUAGAGAACAUGUACCCCGAUGUCAAGCAGAUGCUUGAACGCCUUGCCGGUGACAUGGAUAAGUCACGCGACCGGAUACAAAAGCGGGAACAAACGCUGGCACAGCAGUUUUCUGAUCAGGUGGAGGAUUAUCGCGUGAAGUUGCGCGAACUCAACACCUCGCGUGAUUCAGCUAACGUGGCGCAGCAAACCGUGCAGCAGAUGACGGUGGAGCUGAACCAGAUCAGUGAGCUUCUGGACCAGACGAAGCGCGAUAUUGCAGAAAGACAGGCCAAGAUAUCUGAUACGACUCCGCUCAUUCAGGUGAAGGAAGCGGUGGUCAAGGUGCAGGCCGAGAUCAAACUCAUGUCCUUGCGGAUCGGCAUUCUCCAGAAUGGCGUUUUGCAGCACGUUAUGAAACAAACCAAGGCUCGGCGUGAAGGACCAACCGUAGAGGGCACAGAGAUGUACAGCGGCGAGAUCAUGUUUUCUUAAAGAUGUCUUUAAGGCGUACGUGAGCUAUUCUGGCUCAUUGUUACUGUGCGCCCCUUCUGAACAAGUGUUUCACCCUUCAGUUUCGACGCUAGGAAAGAGGAGGCAAAGAUGAGAGCUACCUUCACCAGCUCCCGGCCGCGGCUACGUGCAUGAGUGAUUCCGGUCAGGCUUUCCUUGUGCUUUUGUGUCAAGCGCAACAGUCUCUUUUGUGAGCUUUUUUUUUCGACGUUUCGGGCAUGUGUGAGAUUUUCUGCGUUCGAUGUAUUUGUUUCUCUUUGAUGGUGACAUCAUGCGUUCGAUUUGCCCUGUUUUAUGAGUUCGUGCUACCCAAGAAUCCACACCACCGGAAUGCAAAACGCAAAUUGAAAGC
rnacentral:misc_RNA from 1 species